rnacentral:rRNA from 2 species
GAGUGAGUGGCGAACUGGUGAGUAACACGUGGGAAACCUGCCCAGAAGCGGGGGAUAACACCUGGAAACAGAUGCUAAUACCGCAUAACAACUUGGACCGCAUGGUCCGAGUUUGAAAGAUGGCUUCGGCUAUCACUUUUGGAUGGUCCCGCGGCGUAUUAGCUAGAUGGUGGGGUAACGGCUCACCAUGGCAAUGAUACGUAGCCGACCUGAGAGGGUAAUCGGCCACAUUGGGACUGAGACACGGCCCAAACUCCUACGGGAGGCAGCAGUAGGGAAUCUUCCACAAUGGACGAAAGUCUGAUGGAGCAACGCCGCGUGAGUGAAGAAGGGUUUCGGCUCGUAAAACUCUGUUGUUAAAGAAGAACAUAUCUGAGAGUAACUGUUCAGGUAUUGACGGUAUUUAACCAGAAAGCCACGGCUAACUACGUGCCAGCAGCCGCGGUAAUACGUAGGUGGCAAGCGUUGUCCGGAUUUAUUGGGCGUAAAGCGAGCGCAGGCGGUUUUUUAAGUCUGAUGUGAAAGCCUUCGGCUCAACCGAAGAAGUGCAUCGGAAACUGGGAAACUUGAGUGCAGAAGAGGACAGUGGAACUCCAUGUGUAGCGGUGAAAUGCGUAGAUAUAUGGAAGAACACCAGUGGCGAAGGCGGCUGUCUGGUCUGUAACUGACGCUGAGGCUCGAAAGUAUGGGUAGCAAACAGGAUUAGAUACCCUGGUAGUCCAUACCGUAAACGAUGAAUGCUAAGUGUUGGAGGGUUUCCGCCCUUCAGUGCUGCAGCUAACGCAUUAAGCAUUCCGCCUGGGGAGUACGGCCGCAAGGCUGAAACUCAAAGGAAUUGACGGGGGCCCGCACAAGCGGUGGAGCAUGUGGUUUAAUUCGAAGCUACGCGAAGAACCUUACCAGGUCUUGACAUACUAUGCAAAUCUAAGAGAUUAGACGUUCCCUUCGGGGACAUGGAUACAGGUGGUGCAUGGUUGUCGUCAGCUCGUGUCGUGAGAUGUUGGGUUAAGUCCCGCAACGAGCGCAACCCUUAUUAUCAGUUGCCAGCAUUAAGUUGGGCACUCUGGUGAGACUGCCGGUGACAAACCGGAGGAAGGUGGGGAUGACGUCAAAUCAUCAUGCCCCUUAUGACCUGGGCUACACACGUGCUACAAUGGAUGGUACAACGAGUUGCGAACUCGCGAGAGUAAGCUAAUCUCUUAAAGCCAUUCUCAGUUCGGAUUGUAGGCUGCAACUCGCCUACAUGAAGUCGGAAUCGCUAGUAAUCGCGGAUCAGCAUGCCGCGGUGAAUACGUUCCCGGGCCUUGUACACACCGCCCGUCACACCAUGAGAGUUUGUAACACCCAAAGUCGGUGGGGUAACCUUUUAGA